UCCUACGGGGCGCAGCAGUGGGGAAUAUUGGACAAUGGGGGGAACCCUGAUCCAGCGACGCCGCGUGAGUGAAGAAGUAUUUCGGUAUGUAAAGCUCUAUCAGCAGGGAAGAAAGAAAUGACGGUACCUGUCGAAUAAGCCACGGCUAACUACGUGCCAGCAGCCGCGGUAAUACGUAGGUGGCAAGCGUUAUCCGGAUUUACUGGGUGUAAAGGGAGCGUAGGCGGUGAUGCAAGUCAGAAGUGAAAGCCCGCAGCUCAACUGCGGGACUGCUUUUGAAACUGUAUGACUAGAUUGCAGGAGAG
rnacentral:rRNA from 1 species